CUAACUGGUGCUCGAUUUGCGAAUAAGGGCACCGUUAAUAAGCGGAUUAAUAAGGGAAUUCUAUUUCAUGGUUAUUAUCUACAAACUAAGCCAUUUAAUAGGAGGAGUGGGCCACUUUAAAUCUGGUGAAUUACAAGAACAUCUAUACUCUAGACAACUUGUAGCCAAAAUUAGAUUAGUAUUUACAUACUGUAAAGGAUCUAAAAAGGUUCAACGACUAAUGGGUGAGUAAUACUAACAAUAAUCCCAACACGAGCGCCAGAAUACUAUAUAUUAUAGUAUAUGACAUAGUCUAAUCUGUGGCGCGAGUCGCAG
rnacentral:ncRNA from 1 species